rnacentral:rRNA from 1 species
CCUACGGGUGGCAGCAGUGAGGAAUAUUGGUCAAUGGACGCAAGUCUGAACCAGCCAUGCCGCGUGCAGGAAGACGGCUCUAUGAGUUGUAAACUGCUUUUGUACGAGGGUAAACGCAGAUACGCGUAUCUGUCUGCAAGUAUCGUACGAAUCCGGAUCGGCUAACUCCGUUCCAGCAGCCGCGGUAAUACGGAGGGUUCAAGCGUUAUCCGGAUUUAUUGGGUUUAAAGGGUGCGUAGGCGGUCGGAUAAGUUAGAUGUGAAAUCCCGAGGCUCAACUUCGGAAUUGCCUUGGAUACUGUUCGGCUAGAGAGUAGUUGAGGUAGGCGGAAUGUAUGGUGUAGCGGUGAAAUGCUUAGAGAUCAUACAGAACACCGAUUGCGAAGGCAGCUUACCAAGCUACUUCUGACGUUGAGGCACGAAAGCGUGGGGAGCAAACAGGAUUAGAUACCCGGGUAGUC